GAUGAACGCUGGCGGCGUGCUUAACACAUGCAAGUCGAACGGAAAGGCCCUGCUUGCGUGGGGUGCCCGAGUGGCGAACGGGUGAGUAACACGUGAGUAACCUGCCCUUGACUUUGGGACAACUUCAGGAAACUGGGGCUAAUACCGGAUAGGAGCUCCUGCUGCAUGGUGGGGGUUGGAAAGUUUCGGCGGUUGGGGAUGGACUCGCGGCUUACUAGCUUGUUGGUGGGGUAGUGGCUUACCAAGGCCUUGAUGGGUAGCCGGCCUGAGAGGGUGACCGGCCACAUUGGGACUGAGAUACGGCCCAGAGUCGUACGGGAGGCAGCAGUGGGGAAUAUUGCACAAUGGGCGGAAGCCUGAUGCAGCAACGCCGCGUGCGGGAUGACGGCCUUCGGGUUGUAAACCGCAUUCGCCUGUGACGAAGCGUGUGUGACGGUAAUGGGUGAAGAAGCACCGGCUAACUACGUG
rnacentral:rRNA from 1 species